rnacentral:rRNA from 1 species
GGCGAACGGGGUAGUAAUGCGUAGGUGACGUGCCCUGCGGUCGGGGAUAGCUUAGGGAAACUUAAGGUAAUACCCGAUAAUCCCACGAGGUUUGAAGACCAUGUGGGCAAAGGUGUGAUUCCACCACAGGAGCGGCUUGCGUGGUAUUAGCUAGUUGGUGAGGUAACGGCUCACCAAGGCUGCGAUGCCUAGGGGAUGUUAGCGCAUGAUCCCCACCACUGGGACUGAGAUACUGCCCAGACACCUACGGGUGGCUGCAGUCGAGAAUCUUCGGCUAAUGGGGGAAACCCUGACCGAGCGACGCCGCGUGUGGGAUGAAGGCCCUUGGGUUGUAAACCACUGUCAGAGGGGAUGAAGUGCAUGAGGGUUCUCCCUCAUGUUUGACAAGCCUCAGAGAAGCACGGGUAAGUCGUC